UCCCCACACCUACAUACACGUUUUUCUGGGCU
rnacentral:piRNA from 1 species